GACGAACGCUGGCGGCGCGCUUAACACAUGCAAGUCGAACGGAAAGGCCUGCUUUCCCUUGUGGAUUGCGGGUACUCGAGUGGCGAACGGGUGAGUAACACGUGAGUGAUCUGCCCCCAACUUGGGUAUAAGCCUGGGAAACUGGGUCUAAUUCCCGAUAGGACUGCAGGGUGGUGCCUGUGGUGGAAAACGAUUUUCUAGUGGUUGGGGAUGAGCUCGCGGCCUAUCAGCUUGUUGGUGGGGUAAUGGCCUACCAAGGCGGCGACGGGUAGCCGGCCUGAGAGGGUGGACGGCCACAUUGGGACUGAGAUACGGCCCAGACUCCUACGGGAGGCAGCAGUGGGGAAUAAUGCACAAUGGGCGGAAGCCUGAUGCAGCGACGCCGCGUGGGGGAUGACGGCCUUCGGGUUGUAAACUCCUUUCGACCGCGAGGAAGCCACCUGGUUGGAAGGGUGGUGACGGUAGUGGUAGAAGAAGCACCGGCUAACUACG
rnacentral:rRNA from 1 species